UUAUUAAAUGGCCGCGGUAUUUUGACCGUGCAAAGGUAGCAUAAUCAUUAGUUUAUUAAUUGUAAACUUGUAUGAAUGGUUGGACGAGAUAAUUUCUGUCUUAAUUUUAUAUAUAUAAUUUAAAUUUUUAGUUAAAAUGCUUAAAUUUAUUUAUUGGACGAGAAGACCCUAUAGAUCUUUAUUUUUAUUUUUAUUAAUUGCUUUAGUUAUAUUUUUUUAAUAUUUUUAUUUAUUUUGUUGGGGUGAUUUGGAGAUAUAUAUAACUCUUUAUUUUUUUUUUCAUUAAUUUAUGUUUAUUUGAACUUUAUUUUUGUUAUAANAUUUANAUACCUUAGGGAUAACAGCGUAAUUUUUCUUGAAAGUUCUUAUUAAUAGUAAAGUUUGCGACCUCGAUGUUGGAUUAAGAUUAAUAUUGGGUGUAGGUGCUCUAGUUAUUAGGUCUGUUCGACCUUUAAAAUCUUACAUGAUCUGAG
rnacentral:rRNA from 1 species